rnacentral:rRNA from 1 species
GUCUCCGGCCAUGCCACCCUGAACUUGCCCGAUCUCGUGUGAUCUCGGAAGCUAAGCAGGGUUGGGCCUGGUUUGUACUUGGAUGGGAGACCACCUAAAAAGACCAGGUGCUGUAAGUG